CACGUAGGGGGCGAGCGUUGUCCGGAAUCAUUGGGCGUAAAGAGCUCGUAGGCGGCUCAGUAAGUCGGGUGUGAAAGCCCCGGGCUCAACCUGGGAAUUGCAUUCGAGACUGAAUAGCUAGGGUACGGUAGAGGGAAGCGGAAUUUCCGGUGUAGCGGUGAAAUGCGUAGAUAUCGGAAGGAACAUCAGUGGCGAAAGCGGCUUCCUGGACCAGUACCGACGUUCAGGCACGAAAGCGUGGGGAGCAAACAGG
rnacentral:rRNA from 1 species